rnacentral:rRNA from 1 species
UACGGAGGGUGCAAACGUUGCUCGGAAUCAUUGGGCGUAAAGCGCACGUAGGCGGCCCGGUAAGUCGGAUGUGAAAGCCCUCGGCUCAACUGAGGAAGUGCAUUCGAAACUGCUGGACUUGAGUACGGGAGAGGGAUGCGGAAUUCCCGGUGUAGAAGUGAAAUUCGUAGAUAUCGGGAGGAACACCAGUGGCGAAGGAGGCAUCCUGGACCGAUACUGACGCUGAGGUGCGAAAGCGUGGGGAGCAAACAGG